UACGUAGGUGGCAAGCGUUGUCCGGAUUUAUUGGGCGUAAAGCGAGCGCAGGCGGAAAGAUAAGUCUGAUGUGAAAGCCCCCGGCUUAACCGAGGAAUUGCAUCGGAAACUGUGUUUCUUGAGUGCAGAAGAGGAGAGUGGAACUCCAUGUGUAGCGGUGGAAUGUGUAGAUAUCGGGAAGAACACCAAUGGCGAAGGCAGGUCUCUGGGCCGUUACUGACGCUGAGGAGCGAAAGCGUGGGGAGCGAACAGG
rnacentral:rRNA from 1 species